GACGAACGCUGACGGCGUGCUUAACACAUGCAAGUCGAAGGGAGUGGCGAACGGGUGAGUAACACGGGUGUAACCUGUCCUUUUCUUUGGGAUAAGCCUGGGAAACUGGGUCUUAUCCUGGAUGGUGUGGGAUGGGCUCGGGGCUUAUCAGCUGGGUGGUGGGGUGGUGGCUUACCCAGGCUUUGACGGGUGGCCGGCCUGGGAGGGUGGUCGGGCACGCUGGGACUGAGAUUGGGCCCAGACUCCUACGGGAGGCAGUAGUGGGGGAUAUUGCAGAAUUGACGGAAGUCUGAUGCAGCGACGUCGUGUGGGGGAUGAAGGCCUUCGGGUUGUAAACUCCGUUCGCCAGCGGAAUGGUAGUGGGAAAAGAAGCGCCGGCUAACUACGUGCCAGCCGCCGCGGUAAUUC
rnacentral:rRNA from 1 species